rnacentral:rRNA from 1 species
UGCCAGACUCCUACGGGAGGCAGCAGUGGGGAAUAUUGCACAAUGGGGGAAACCCUGAUGCAGCAACGCCGCGUGAGUGAAGAAGUAUUUCGGUAUGUAAAGCUCUAUCAGCAGGGAAGAAGAUGACGGUACCUGAGUAAGAAGCCCCGGCUAACUACGUGCCAGCAGCCGCGGUAAUACGUAGGGGGCAAGCGUUAUCCGGAUUUACUGGGUGUAAAGGGAGCGUAGACGGUGAGACAAGUCUGAAGUGAAAGCCCGGGGCUCAACCCCGGGACUGCUUUGGAAACUGCCUGACUGGAGUGCUGGAGAGGCAAGCGGAAUUCCUAGUGUAGCGGUGAAAUGCGUAGAUAUUAGGAAGAACACCAGUGGCGAAGGCGGCUUGCUGGACAGUAACUGACGUUGAGGUUCGAAAGCGUGGGGAGCAAACAGGAUUAGAUACCCGUGUAC